rnacentral:lncRNA from 10 species
GAAUAAAAGCAGGCUGUCCGAGCCAGCAGUGGCAACCCACUCACGUCCCCUUCCAUGCUAUGGAAGCUCUGUUCUUUUGCUCUUUGCAAUAAAUCUUGCUGCUGCUCACUCUUUGGGUCCACACUGCCUUUAUGAGCCAUAACACUCACCGCGAAGGUCUGCAACUUCUCUCCAGAGGCCAGCAAGACCACGAACCCACUGGGAGGAAUGAACAACUCCGGACGGGAGGAACGAACCACUCUGGACGCACCGCCUUAAGAGCUAUAACACUCACUGCGAAGGUCUGCAGCUUCAUUCCUGAAGCCAGCGAGACCACGAACCCACCAGAAGGAAGAAACUCUGAACACACCCAAACAUCAGAAGGAACAAACUCCGAACACAUCAGAAGGAACAAACUGCGGACAUGCCGCCUUUAAGAACUGUAACACUCACCACGAGAUUCUGCGGCUUCAUUCUUGAAGUCAGUGAGACCAAGAACCCACCAAUUCCGGAUACAUUUUGGUGACCCAGAUGGGACUAUUACCUAUCGCCAAGCGGUGAGACCACUGCCUAUCGCUGAGCGGUGAGACUAUCACCUAUCGCCAAGCAUCCUAAAGGGCCAACCCUCCCACGGACAACUACAUACGCUGGCUGGACAAGAAACAAACAAUUAUCUGAAGGCACUGGGCAGAUUCUGGAGGGAGUGACCACUUAGGAGAGUGGCAGAACACUCUCUCGGUGUUUUUGAAAAUGGUUUUGAAAACUUUCAGCCUGAGGGCAGACUGAAAUUGUGCUUGAAGAGCCACAGGAUAGAGUCCAAGGUGACCAAAGCUGCCGGGAAGUGAGGGGGGAUAUUCCAAAGAGGGGAGAGCCAGAGCGAGGAGUCCCGAAUUCUGUGUAUCAACUCUGCCCUAAUCUCUUGCUGGGAGAUGUAUGUUUUUGUUGUUGUUUUUGUUUUGAGAUGGGUUCUUGCACUGUCACCCAGGCUGGGUGCAGUGGCACGACCACAGCUCACUGCAGUUUUGACCUCCCUGGUUCGAGCCAUCCUCCCACCUCAGCCUCCAGAGUAGCUGGGAGUGUGGUCAUUCAUCACACCCAGCUAAUUUUUGUUAGAGACAAGGUCUCAGUGUGUUGCCCUGGCUGAAGAUUAGUUUUUAAAUCUUUUGCUGGGGGUGCAUGUAUGGUCUGUAAAUCAGCAAGAAGCCAGGCACAGUGGUUCACGCUUGUAGUCCCAGCACAUUGGGAGGCCGAGUCAGGAGGAUCGCUUGAGUUCAAGAGUUGAAGACCAGACUGGGCAACAUAGCAAGACCUCAUCUCUACAAAAAAAUAAAAAUAAAAACAGAAAAACCAAAAAAACUAAUUCCAACUAAGCUACCAAAACACGAAACUCAACACUCUUUGGAACUAUAUGAUAGAAUCCAGAGUAUCCACAUCUUAUUCCUAUAUCCCAAUAUCCAAGAAACAAUCCAAACUAACUCAAAAUACAAAGAAACAGGAA